GUCCCAGUUCGGAUUGUAGUCUGCAACCCGACUACAUGAAGCUGGAAUCGCUAGUAAUCGCGAAUCAGAAUGUCGCGGUGAAUACGUUCCCGGGUCUUGUACACACCGCCCGUCACACCAUGGGAGUCGGAAAUGCCCGAAGUCAGUGACCCAACCGUAAGGAGGGAGCUGCCGAAGGUGGAGCCGGUAACUGGGGUGAAGUCGUAACAAGGUACC
rnacentral:rRNA from 1 species